rnacentral:lncRNA from 1 species
UCAUUUAUUUUGAAACGAAAAUUUAUCGACAACUAAACCGAAACAGUAGAAAUAGUUUUUUAUUCUAUUAAGAACAAUAAAGUUAUAAUAAAACUUUUAAGGGAUCCUUUUUGAUUUGAAUUAAUGAUUGAGAUAACAUAAUCACUUUUUUUUGUUAUUCAACACGUCGCAGUGAAAAGAAUGAACAUUGAUCUAUUAAUUUACGGAUAUUACAAGAUGAAAAACUUGUGUUUCAAAAAAAAAAAUACAAGAUGAAAAACUUAACUAAAUUGACACU